CAGCCCUUGACAUCCUGGUCGCGGGAACGAGAGAUCGAUCCCUUCAGUUCGGCUGGACCAGAGACAGGUGCUGCAUGGCUGUCGUCAGCUCGUGUCGUGAGAUGUUGGGUUAAGUCCCGCAACGAGCGCAACCCUCGCCCUUAGUUGCCAUCAUUCAGUUGGGCACUCUAAGGGGACUGCCGGUGAUAAGCCGCGAGGAAGGUGGGGAUGACGUCAAGUCCUCAUGGCCCUUACGGGCUGGGCUACACACGUGCUACAAUGGCGGUGACAAUGGGACGCAAUGGAGCAAUCCUGCGCAAAUCUCAAAAAGCCGUCUCAGUUCGGAUUGGGCUCUGCAACUCGAGCCCAUGAAGUUGGAAUCGCUAGUAAUCGCAGAUCAGCACGCUGCGGUGAAUACGUUCCC
rnacentral:rRNA from 1 species